rnacentral:lncRNA from 1 species
GGGGUGGGACGCGAAGCCCCCAGGGAGCGGUGCCCCGGGCGGGCGGAUGUAGGAAUUAGGACCCAGGAGCGGGAGGGGCGGUGAAAAGAGAAAGAAAGAGAGAAAGCGGCUCGGAGGGCGGAAGAUUCCGGGGCUCCGUGGGGCCGCCUCGAAGAGAACGGUGGAUUCCCUGCCUCCUGCCCAGCUCCGCAGCUCCUCCCCACUCUUCUCCAAGCCGAGGCUGGCAGGAGUGCGAUCCCCGCACCGGCCAAAACGCGAAAAGGAGUGCGGGACACAGCUGGUGGAGAGCGGCUAUCAGGCCUGGCGCAGGCUCUGGGAAGACCGGCUGCAUCUGCGGGGGACUUGCCAGGACUGGGAACCAGAUCCUUGCACCUCAGGCUUGCCAGGCAGAAAGAGCGUCCUCCAGAGAGGGGAAAUGGAAAAGUGGGAGUGUCGGUCGGUCGAGAGCCUGAGCAGAGGGACUGGGAAAGAAAGAGGGGUGGGGGCAGGAGGUAGUAAGAAGCAAAAUAGAUGCAGUGAGUGAGGAAGAAGCCUUGUACAGAGGAGGAAGAAAGGGGGAGAGAGGUUUCCAGGAAGGCCCAGCCAUUAGGUCUGUCCUUGGGCUGCAUAUUUAUACGGUCGAGGGGGUGCACAGAUGGGCUCUCAAUUGAAUUCCAUCUUCAACACCAUCAGAGAUUGAUUUUGUACUCGCUUUUAAUUUUGCCAUAAUUAAUUAGAUCAUUACAACUGUUUGCUAUUGAUCUCCCUACUUAAACCUCUGGUGCGGAGGGGUGGCCCAGAGCCCUAAAAGCCCAGGAGGCCACAGUUGACACUCCUGGGGGCCCAGGUUCCCAGUAGGUACAAAGCCCCCAAGGGGGAAUGGAGGCAGCCCAGGGACUGGGACAAGAAGUCCCAAUGCUGAGAGUGGAAACUGGGUUAUCAGCUGAAAGAACUAGAUCUUGAGCUGGUGGGGACUGAUGAAAAAGGGGGGACUGGCUUUGGAAAAGGUGAGGGCUGAGGCAAAAAAGGGCCUGGAGUAGGUCUUUGACCUCUCUGGAAUUAUUUGGAAAACUCUUGGAAACUGAUCCAACCCUCUCCCUUCCCAGCAAUCCAAAACUAGACUUGGGUUCCUGACUUCCCACCCCUGCGCUACUCUAGGGCACCUAGUGGGCAAACAGAGCUGAUUGCCUGGCCUGGAGAAGAGAGGGAGGGGGG